UUUGUCUGUUAGCCAUAAAGAUAUUUGCACGUUGGCUUUCUUAGUGAAGUGAGAUCCACAUUAUGCGUUUUCAGUUUCAGGUUCAACAUUGUCCCUCCAGCUUUGCAGACUUGAUGCUAAGUAUUGGGUUAGACUAGAAAAGAACAGAAAGAUAAAUGUUUCCUUGUUUUUAAAGGUUUAUAGAAAAAGGAUGCCUACUUCUUUCUGCAGUCAUGUUUGUACACAUGGCUCUGCCUUGUGACAAUAAUUUAUCCAAGUUGGGCCAAGACUAUCAAACUCAACCAAGACAGAUUAUAUCCGGGAUUCCAUGGGCAGAGGAGAUGGAUAAGAAAGUUUGCUCUCCUUGGCACUCACAUCAUUUUGUCUGCUGUAAACACUCUUUUACCAUGUCCUAGCUUUCCAGAAGCAAUAAGGUGGGUUUUCUUCUGUGGAAUAAUGUUUGUAGGGUUAUUAAAUAUGACAUAUAGCAUCUAUACACAUGAUUUCUAAUAAUAGGAUGUUUUUCUUCUUUCUCCAAGGUAUAUAACAUUCUUCUAAUGAUUUCAAGAUCAGCAAACUUAUUCUUAAAGCAGAGCUGAUGUGGCCAAAACAGGGAAUGAGGAUUCCUGUUGCACCCUCUCCCUUUCCUGCCAAGGCUCUCCCACAGAAUCCUCAGGUUUCAACUGAGCACAACUGGAAAAUGACUGCAUCUUGCCAGGCAGUGGGUGGUGGGUUUUUUGUUGUUGUUGUUUUUCCAAUGAUUUCUAGUUCCUCUAGUUCUUCAUAAAUUAUUUGUACAAUGACUGGAUGGAUAUAAAUGUUCUUGUCCAGUUUCCUGAUGAAUAUGUUAGGAUGCCUGGCACUGGGUCCCUCUGAUUUCUUUUACUUUGGUUUAAAUUUCCUUUAACAUAUCCCCACUCUUUUAUUUGUAGAGUGGAAUAAAUCUUUGAAGUUGAGGCGAUUCUUUAAUCCUUAUCACAAUACCCCAUUGCAACAAUCUUGAAUAAAGUCUUCAAUUU